CCUACGGGAGGCAGCAGUAGGGAAUUUUGCGCAAUGGGCGAACGCCUGACGCAGCAACGCCGCGUGAUCGAGACGUCCUUCGUGGUGUAUAGACCUGUCAGUGGGGACGACACUUGACGGUACCCACAGAGGAAGCACCGGCUAACUCAGUGCCAGCAGCCGCCGGAAUACCGGGGGUGCAAGCGUUGUCCGGGAUCAUUGGGCGGAAAGCGUUCGUAGGCGGCAAGGAAAGUCUGGUGGUAAAGGUAGAGGCUCAACUUCUGUACGGCACUGGAUACUUGCGAUCUAGAAUGCGGGAGAGGUAUAGGGAAUUCCUGGUGUAGCGGUGAAAUGCUUAGAUAUCAGGAGGAACAUCGGUGGCGUAAGCGCUUUACUGGGCCGUAAUUGACGCUGAAGAACGAAAGCCAGGGUAGCAAAUGGGAUUAGAUACCCCAGUAGUC
rnacentral:rRNA from 1 species